rnacentral:lncRNA from 1 species
UAUUACAACUUUAAUAUUCUAAAAUUAAAAAAUAUACAUAUAUAAAUGUGCAUUAAAAUGUAUCUAAACUUUUAAAGUACAAAGUACAAAAAAUGAUAUGCUAAUCUCAAGAUCUGCUCUGCAUUUAAUAUCUCGUCGAGUAUCUGUGACACUCGUAGAUAUCUAGAUCAUUGGCAUAAUCUGAAAGAAUAUUAAUCCAACCCUCUAAUCAAGAUGUACUGUACUCCUGAAUAUUCAUCCCACAAGACAUCCUCUCUGGAUUGUAAGACAUCUC